CGUAGGGUGCGAGCGUUAAUCGGAAUUACUGGGCGUAAAGCGUGCGCAGGCGGUUUUGUAAGACAGAUGUGAAAUCCCCGGGCUCAACCCUGGGACCUGCAUUUGUGACUGCAAGGCUAGAGUACGGUAGAGGGGGAUGGAAGUUCCGCGUGUAGCAGUGAAAUGCGUAGAUAUGCGGAGGAACACCGAUGGCGAAGGCAAUCCCCUGGACCUGUACUGACGCUCAUGCACGAAAGCGUGGGGAGCGAAACAGGAUUAGAUACCCUGGUAGUCCACGCCCUAAACGAUGUCAACUGGUUGUUGGGUCUUUACUGUACUCAGUACGAAGCUAACGCGUGAAGUUGACCGCCUGGGGAGUACGGCCGCAAGGUUG
rnacentral:rRNA from 1 species